UUUUGUUCCGUCGUGGAUACCCAUCGCCCGCCGCCAACGCCAAACUUCAGGAUCCAAUCAGCGCACAACGCCAAAGUACCGCUAUGACGGCGGCGAGAGAUGAGGAGCACACAGAGCUUAUAAGAUGGUUCGAAUGCUUCAAGAAGAAUUUCUUUUAUCAAGGACAUGUAUAAGGAGGCACUGGAUGUCUGAAUGAUGGCCAAGAUGUCAGUCCACCAGUGAUGAAGCAAUUCAUAGAUGUUUCAGUUGGUGUUAUCCCGGUGGGCGUGUUUCCAUGGUCUUGCUAGUUUGUCAUGUACGUCCUCAGCAUCGUCGCCGAGGUGUGCUUUGAUGGUUCCACUCUUCCUUGUGCCAUAAUCGUCAAGGUGGACCACCAGGCAUGAAGAUCGUGAAAAAACCCUUGGACCAUUUGUAUUGUGUAGGUGGGGUUCGAAGCAACUUCUCUAGAAGCAAAUUUGAAAAUAGUUGAAGCAAAUUGUAUUUUCUUUGGAAGCAUGUUCUAUUUUUUUAUGCAUUGUAUGAUGGAAAUAGUUUUUUAU